UCCUGAAAAAAGCUACCCCGACCGAAAGGCGGGCGCGCAAAGUCUCAGUCUAAAGGGCUCCUGCCUCAAGACCGGGGGGCCGCCAGG
rnacentral:ncRNA from 1 species